rnacentral:tRNA from 1 species
UAAGGCCCGCAAGACAUUAACUCGCAUCACCUGAAUGCAACUCAGACACUUUAAUUAAGCUAGGACCUCA